CUCCUGUCCCAAUACAAAACCCCCGCCCCCUUCUACAAAAUCCCUGCAGCCCCACACACACACAGGCAGACAGUCACAUACUCAGUUACAGACAGACAGUCACACACUCAGUUACAGGCAGUCACAUACAGUCACAGGCAGACAGUCACACAUACACAUUUCCUCCGUGCGGCCAGCUUAUUAGCUGUUUGCUUGUGUGAGCUGUACUGGCCGCACGGCACCCUAACUACCAUGGGACACUGUGCGGCCACAGCUCACACAGCCCCCUCCAGCCAGGGCCGGUGCAAGGAUUUUUGCCGCCCUAGGCAAAAGUAAAGUUUGCAGCCCC